UUCCCCCGCCGGGCCCCGGGCCCGUCCCGCCGCCCCCGCCCGCCUACGGGAGGCAGCAGUGGGGAAUUUUGGACAAUGGGCGCAAGCCUGAUCCAGCAAUGCCGCGUGAGUGAAGAAGGCCUUCGGGUUGUAAAGCUCUUUCAGUUGAGAAGAAAAGAUUGUGACUAAUAAUUGCAAUUCAAAUGACA
rnacentral:rRNA from 1 species